AUUGAACGCUGGCGGCAGGCCUAACACAUGCAAGUCGAACGAGUGGCGGACGGGUGAGUAAUGUCUGGGAAACUGCCUGAUGGAGGGGGAUAACUACUGGAAACGGUAGCUAAUACCGCAUACCAUCAGAUGGGCCCGGAUGGGAUUAGCUAGUUGGUGGGGUAACGGCUCACCAAGGCGACGAUCCCUAGCUGGUCUGGGAGGAUGACCAGCCACACUGGAAAUGAGACACGGUCCAGACUCCGACGGGAGGCAGCAGUGGGGAAUAUUGCACAAUGGGCGCAAGCCUGAUGCAGCCAUGCCGCGUGUGUGAAGAAGGCCUUCGGGUUGUAAAGUACUUUCAGCGGGGAGGCGUUACCCGCAGAAGAAGCACCGGCUAACUCCGUGCCAGCAGCCGCGGUAAUUC
rnacentral:rRNA from 1 species